rnacentral:rRNA from 1 species
UCGGGAAUUUUGUGCAAUGGGCGAAAGCCUGACACAGCAACGCCGCGUGAAGGAUGAAGUCCCUCGGGAUGUAAACUUCGUAAGAAUAGGAAGAAUAAAUGACGGUACUAUUUGUAAGGUCCGGCUAACUACGUGCCAGCAGCCGCGGUAAUACGUAGGGACCAAGCGUUGUUCGGAUUUACUGGGCGUAAAGGGCGCGUAGGCGGCUCUGUAAGUCACUUGUGAAAUCUCUGAGCUUAACUCAGAACGGCCAAGUGAUACUGCAGAGCUAGAGUGUAGAAGGGGCAAUCGGAAUUCUUGGUGUAGCGGUGAAAUGCGUAGAUAUCAAGAGGAACACCUGAGGUGAAGACGGGUUGCUGGUCUAACACUGACGCUGAGGCGCGAAAGCCAGGGGAGCAAACGGGAUUAGAUACCCACGUAGUCCCUGAGCGGGCUGGCAAGGCGCAU